rnacentral:rRNA from 1 species
UACAGAGGUCUCAAGCGUUGUUCGGAUUCAUUGGGCGUAAAGGGUGCGUAGGUGGCGUCGUAAGUCAGGUGUGAAAUUUCGGAGCUUAACUCCGAAACUGCAUUUGAUACUGCGGUGCUUGAGGACUGGAGAGGAGACUGGAAUUUACGGUGUAGCAGUGAAAUGCGUAGAGAUCGUAAGGAAGACCAGUGGCGAAGGCGGGUCUCUGGACAGUUCCUGACACUGAGGCACGAAGGCCAGGGGAGCAAACAGG